rnacentral:rRNA from 1 species
UACAGAGGGUGCGAGCGUUGUCCGGAAUCACUGGGCGUAAAGGGCGCGUAGGCGGCUUGCUAAGUAGGGGGUGAAAUCUCGCGGCUCAACCGCGGGGCUGCCUUCUAAACUGGCGGGCUCGAGCACAGUAGAGGCAGGUGGAAUUCCCGGUGUAGCGGUGGAAUGCGUAGAGAUCGGGAAGAACAUCGGUGGCGAAGGCGGCCUGCUGGGCUGUUGCUGACGCUGAGGCGCGACAGCGUGGGGAGCAAACAGG